GCGUGCAUGGUUGAGUGGUACAAUUUCUGCCUUCCAAGCAGAAGGCCGGGGUUCGAUUCCCCGUGCACGCA